GUCUCUAAGGUGCCACAAGUACUCCUUUUCAGAUACUACAGUGAUAAGAGCUAUAUAUAAAUACUUCUUGUUCAUGACAUUUAUCUAUUUCUUGCUUCCCUGACAGAAUCCACCACCCUGUCAGAGGGAUACAUCUGAGGAUCUCCAUUCACUUAUUUCGAUGCCUUUCUCUGCCAAGUAACUGCACUAAAGAUCCCAAAUUCCAGCCAAAGAACAGUGCUCCACAGAGACCACCUGGGAUCAGUGCUGCCAAAUGACUUGAAGCAAGGAGGAGCAUGGCAUGCUGGGGCCUGCGUCUCCGAGGGCCUGUGCUCUGUAUUGAAGGGAAAUUCUACACUGCUGAUUUCUGGAUUUUUGCAAUCUCUUCCCUCCACUGUUCCAAUAUCCUGUAAGUCAAAGAUCCUUAAUGGAGAAUAUUAAAAAUGUAGGUCAUGAGGAAGAUGACAGUGUUAUGGAGACUGAUUUUACCAAGAAAAAGACAUCUAGUGAUUACAAAACAAGGUUGGAAGUCAGGAGUUCUGGCUUUUAUGCCCAUCUUUCCUACCGACUAUUUGUGAGAUCUUGGGAAAAUCACUUAAUCUCUGUGCUUCUGUUUCCCCUUCUGUAAAGGGGGUAUUAAGAUAUCUGCCUCACAAGGGUGCUGCAAAACUUGUUAAAGAGCUUUGAGAUCCUUGGAUAAAAGGUGCUAUAAAAAUGAAAAGCAUUAUGAGUUGAUGGCCCCUAUUACACCCUGUCUGAAAUGAGGGAAGAAAGGAGCUUUCAUGUUACAUGAUCCAAGUCAUAAAUGUGGAGAUUAUAAUGGCAUCAAAACUCCUCCCCACACUACAAUUGAAACUGUGCUAGCAAUAACGGCAUUUUUCCAGUUGUAGUGGGGCAGAGCUAAAGGAUUUGUAGCUACAGGGGAGUAGCCUAGCAAAAGGGCACUUUGAUUUUCCUCUUUAUCAUUAUUUAUUAUUUCUGCCACUGUAACAUUCAGAGUGCUCAAUUGGGAUCAGGGCCCCAUUUUGUUGUGCAUGCAUCUGGAAUGUAAGUUUCACAUAAAUGAAUCCUGAUAAUGUUAAUAUUUGAGAAUUGACACAAAUAUGUUCAGACUCUCUUUCUAUCUGGAAGAGAUAAAAUCUCAUAAAAUCCCUACCUGCCUUCAACUGAAGGCUCCAUUCUAGAUUCUGUAUUUUGGACGAAACUCUACUUUUGUCGUUCAGAAUGCCAGGUUCCCCUUCAAUAAUAUGUAAUUCUUUUAACCUUCAUUAUACCUCAUGACUAUGUGUUUAAAACAAUAAGCACUGCUCCUGCAAUUGGAUCUGGAUGUUGGCUUCAGUCGGAUUUUGUGCGGCCCUGAUUACAGAACUGAGACCAUAGUGUGUACUGGCGGAAGAGGAUCUGGAGUUGGUUCAGUUGGAUCCUUGAACAUUCCCAGAGUGUCCCUUUGCACAACUUAAUGAUUCCUGCUCCUCUCACCUGGGCAGACUUUGUGACUGUUAAUUAUCGCAUUAAAUAAAAAUGAGAGCUUGCUAUAACACCAACAGCCUGUGGUGGAGAAAAUACGCUGCUACUUUGAUACAGAUCCCCUUUUAAUGAGGACACAGUAGACCGGGAGGGCUGUUUUCCCAAUAUGUUAGUUGAAACCUACAAUUCCUGGUUCACAGACAUACCGUAUUGACCCCACAGUUUUGAAUGUUGGAUCAAAUGAUUUUAUUAUUGUUGUUUGUUGUAGCUGUUUUUGCCACCUCAUUCCCUUGAUUUUACCACUUGUCUCUGUCAAAUGAAAAGAUGGGAAAAGGAGACAUGAAUUGGCUGGUGGGGUAUAAAUGAAACAGGUGUUAUGUGUGAAGUAUCUGCUUUCUAAUUGCUGCUGUUGGAAUUUGGGGUGGUGGGAGGGGAAAAGAU